rnacentral:rRNA from 1 species
GUACGGAGGGUGCAAGCGUUACUCGGAAUCACUGGGCGUAAAGCGCGCGCAGGCGGUCGUUUAAGUUGGAUGUGAAAGCCUACGUCUCAACCGUAGAACUGCAUCCAAAACUAUUAGACUAGAGUGUGGGAGAGGAAGAUGGAAUUAGUUGUGUAGGGGUAAAAUCCGUAGAGAUAACUAGGAAUACCAAAAGCGAAGGCAAUCUUCUGGAACACUACUGACGCUGAGGCGCGAAAGCGUGGGGAGCAAACAGGAUUAGAAACCCUAGUAGUCC